UUCUUCCUCUGGGGCCAUAAGGAUGUUGAAGUCGCCAAGGAUUAACCAUGGUCUGUUUCUCUGUUGCUCAUAUUCCUCAGCUUGUUCCACAGUUUCCUUCUUUUACAGCAUUGUUCCUUGCAUAUAAUGCGGUGAUCCAGUAAGUAUGAUCAUCUUCCUUGAUCUUGAAAGUGAUCUGUUGUAUGCUAUUGUCAAUGGUUUCACAUUAGGCCAUUAUCCCAAAAGCACCACAAUUUGCUGCAAUUAUUGGAGAUGGCAUGGACAAAGCCUAGAUACUUUCUGUAUUCUUCUAGCUUAUUAAAGAAGAGAAAUGGUUCUUGAAGGAUAACCAUACUAGUUUUAUGUAUUCUGAUUAGCUAGUCUUUCACUAGCACCUUUGGAGCUCAUACCUCUAAUAUUCCAGUUGAUGAUGUUAAUAAUUUGGAAAGGUUGGGGGUUUGCAUACUACCUUGUUGUUAGAAGGAUACUGAAGGUUUUUAUUUGACCUCCUUUACCUUUGUGAUUUCUUCUUUUGUUUCCCCUUGGCGAUAAUCCUUGUUUUUGUAUAACUUCCUCAAUUUCUUUUGCCACAGGAUCCUCAAACUGUUUUGGAGAGGGAGUAAAGGCUUCAAGUAAGCUGUCUACUACUUGUUCAUCUUCAUCCUCCUCACAUACACCUCUAGAGUUUUCAUUUAUCUCAUCAUCUGUGGAAGACUCUUGAGAGUGGUUGUUGUCGAUGUCCUCUCCUGAUUCGUACAUAGAAUUGUUGUCUAUGUCUGACAAUGUUUGUUGUUUAGCUCACCUGGGAUAUGCUCAAGAGUCCCCAAGUCUAUAGUGAUUUUUCCUCCUUUUCUUUGAAUGCAAGAUAUGUCUGCAGUAAAAGGAGACAUAAUCUGGUUGUUUGAAUUAGCACUACUACUUUUCGGUUCUUUUGUUUUACCUUCCUGUUGAGAUUGUAUUUAUUUUCCUUUGCUUGUAGUAACUUCUUUAGGUCUGCUUAUAAUUUGGAUUUUCACUUCUUUUUGGACUGCCUCUAUGAUUUUUUCCUCUAUUUACCCUGAUUUCUGUUUGACCCAAAGUCUAUUUUUACCUUUCAGACUUUGGGUAUUCACCUUGUUAGUCUUCUUUUUUUGUGCCUGCCACUUUUUUUGUUUGUGUUGAAUUCUCUCGCUUGAAUAAUGGUGCUGUCAUUUUGUUUUCCUUCCACAUUGUCUUUGACAGGUUUGAUCGCUUAAGUGUUGUUUUUUUGUAGGGUUGUCUGAUCUUGUUUAGGUUGUGCUUGGUACAUUUUGUUCUGUUGGGCUUUAUCAUUGUUGGUGUUGAAGUUUCCUGCCUGAAAGGCCUUCUUUUUUCUGUUCCUUUUGUUUCUAACUUGAGUGAAACAAUCAUCUUGUUGGUUCUCAAUAUGUGUCUGCGCCCCAUUAGUUUUUGCUUUCCAUUAGGCUUCCCCAGGUAUGUAAGCCUUUGGUUGAUCCUCUCCUUUCUCUGUUUUUUCAUUGUCCCUGAAGGUUUUAGUUUGCUCAUUCUUUCUGGCCUCAACCUUACACCUUUCCACAUCAUGUUCUUGCAAUUUGCAAAUUCUGCAGAAAGUUGGGACACUUUCAUACUCCAAUUUUUUAUCUCUGCCCUUCAGCCCUGUUGUAUCACCUCCAAUGCCUACAAAAACAGUGUCUGGAAGAGACUUCAUUAAGUCUACUUCAACCCUGACCUUCGUCAUGUGAGGUAUGGUUCGUGAGACAGUAGCAAUGUUCUCUUUCAUUGGUGUACCAAUUUGUUCCAAAACAUACCGUAAGUAGUCCCAGUUAAACAUAUAAAAGGGUAGUUAUGGUAGUAACACCCAAAUGGGGGCCAAGGAGGUCUCCUCAUUAGGAUCGAAAUCAAGGGACCAUUUGAACAUCCGCAUUAGAGCCCCAGAUAUACCCAUAAAUCGUUUAAAAUAUGCAGUAUUGAAGUUAAUUUCAUUGUUAAAUUCAAUGAAGACAUGUCUAUAAUCAUAAGCCUUAAUUCUUACCUUCCCUUUCAGAGGGAUUUGUUCAAUGAAUUUUGCCGUAAUUGUUUAAAUUUUGGGUCUCCCCAUUGUAAAUUUACCCAUCAACGUCCAUUUGCAGUUUUUCAUCAUUACCCUAUAGUAAUCGGACGCUUUGAAGAUGACCGUUGGUCUGCCAUUGUGAGUUGUUUGCCUUGCUACCACGGUGUUAAUGUUGAUCGCGUUGUC
rnacentral:lncRNA from 1 species